GAGCGGGGUCAAAUCCUUUGCAGACGACUUAGCUGUGCGAAACGGUCCUGUAAGCAGUAGAGUAGCCUUGUUGUUACGAUCUGCUGAGGGUAAGCCGUCCUUCGCCUCGAUUUCCCCAAUGAUUUCUCUGAGCAAUUCAGGGAGUUGUAGGGGUUGUGGGCUUUUGGUUUUUGAUGUGUCGUCUCCGGGCGGCUGGUGCAGGGUAAGCAGGUUUGACUUGGUGAAAAUCGGUUGAGCGUAUCGAGCGGUCGGGAACCCAGUCUUGUGCUGCUGCGUGCCUCGAGGGGUGUAGGGUAGGCUGGUUGAACUUGGUCGACUUGGAUGUCGGCUCAUGCGUAUUCGCCUGUGGGAGGGCAGUAUAGGGUAGGCCAGUUCAUCUUUGUCGAGUUGGAUGUCGGCUUGGGGGUUGACCUGUGCGGGUGGUCUGGUAUAGGGUAGGCUACUUCCUAUGUGAGCGCGCAGCUGUCCGUUUCCCUCGGCUACCGGGUAGGCAGCUUUGACUUGGGCGAUUUGGGGGUCUGAGGUGCAGGGUAGACUAGUUAGACAGCUCUAGGGUAGGUGCUGAUACAGGGUAGGCGGUCCUAUAUAGCCUGCAGAGGGUAUAGGAUAGGCGAGUACAG
rnacentral:rRNA from 1 species